rnacentral:rRNA from 1 species
UACGUAGGAGGCGAGCGUUGUCCGGAUUUACUGGGCGUAAAGCGCGCGCAGGCGGCACACUAAGUACGAUGUGAAAUCUCCCUGCUCAACGGGGAGGGUGCAUAGUAAACUGGUGAGCUAGAGGACGGUAGAGGGGGGUGGAAUUGCUGGUGUAGCGGUGAAAUGCGUAGAGAUCAGCAGGAGCACCCGUGGCGAAGGCGGCCCCCUGGUCCGAACCUGACGCUGAGGCGCGAAGGCUAGGGGAGCGAACGGG